UGCUGGAGGAGCUAAUGUCACCUCCUACACUUGCUGCAGUGAGUUUCAUUAAAAAAUCUCUGGCAUUAGGCUUGCGAAGCACAAGUUUUUCUAUUUGGAGGACACACAAUGACAAUUUUCUCUAUGCGAGCAGACAGUUGGAUUCAUUGUCGGGGCAAUCACAUUCUUGAAGAACCUCCUAAUCGGUGAGAAUGCGCCACUUCAUGUGAUACAGGACACUAUUCAACUAUAGGGGAUGGGACUAUUCCUUGUAUCACACUUAUCUUAGGAGGCAACCUCACUCAAGGCAAGACUUUCUUGACCCUCCAUUUUCUCUCAAACAGAAAUGUCGGAAUUCAUUGAUCGAUUGCUUUGCUUGAACAGGUUUAUGUUCUUCGAGAAUCAGACCAUGGGCUAUUGCCGGGGUGAUUAGUGUUUGGUAUGUGAUACUUCCGGUGAUUGGAAUCGGAGUCGUGAAGGCUGCCGGCAAGCUUGGCUUUCUGGCAUCAGACCCAUUGUACCACUAUGUCUUCAUGGUUCAGUUCACACUCCCACCAGCCAUGAAUAUCGGGACAAUGACCGAGCUCUUUGAUGUGGGGCAAGAGGAGUGUUCCGUGCUCUUCCUCUGGACAUACUUGUUUGCAGCCAUAGCUCUCACUUUCUGGUCAACUGUGUACAUGUGGAUCUUGUCCUGAUAUUUUUUUCUCAGGCGAAUAGAGUCCGACUCAGACUCAGCCAAACUCGCCAGAACUUUGGGCAGCUGAGCUUGUAAUUCAAUAAGAGCUAUAUAACUUCACAUUCAUGUAUGCCAACAACAGAUACAUAGUUGACAGUGUCGGAUUUACCUAAAAUGCCGGUGAAACAAUGUAAAGCUGAGUCCGCAACCGGCAAUUCAAAAAGUUCGAGCUGAUAGAAAAUGGUCCUGACUUUGGUUUUUCAAAUUGAAGGCAGUCGAGUAA